GCCUGGGUGGCUCAGUAGGUUAAGCAUCCAACUUCAGCUCAGGUCAUGAUCUCACGGCUCGUGGGUACGAGUCCCACCUCGGGCU
rnacentral:tRNA from 1 species